AUGACGAUCACCAAGGGUGGCGCGGCCAUGGCGCUCUACAACGCGUCGCUCAGCACCGGCCGCCUGAUGGUCCUCGACCUAUCUGCACUGGCCAUCAUGCGGCGGUGCAGCGGGCAGACGACGACCGUGACGCUCUCCGCCAACUCCACCGGCGGCAGCAGCCCGCUGUCUCGCAACAGUCCGCUGUCCCCGAUCUCCGUCGCCGCCACCGCCACCUGUGAGCCCGCCCCAUCAGGCGCGGUCGGUGUCGCGGGGCUCGCACGCUCCAGCGCCUCGUUCCCGACUCAGCUGGCCAGCACGCAGAAGGUGGCCAACUUUCAUGCUCUGCCUUCGGAGUGA
rnacentral:rRNA from 1 species